rnacentral:rRNA from 1 species
AAGGCUCCCAGUAGACGACUGGGUUGAUAGGCCAGAUGUGGAAGCCCGGUAACGGGUGGAGCUGACUGGUACUAAUAGGCCGAGGGCUUGUCCUC